GUUUAUGUAGAGAGAAUUUUGCUCACUUCUCUCUAAUCUGAGGAAAAGAAAAUAACAAUGAUUCCCUCAGUAACGGCGAGUGAACAGGGAAAAGCUCACAGUUGGAACCUAGCUGCCUUAGGUAGUUCGGAUUGUAAACUGAAAAAGUGUUAUCCAGGCUAGCCGAGUAAAUAAGUUUCUUGGAAUAGAACAUCAUGGAGGGUGAGAAUCCCGUCUUUGGCUUGAGCAUAGUCUUUUGUGUUGCACUUUAACGAGUCAGGUUGUUUGGGAAUGCAGCCUAAAGUGGGAGGUAAAUCCCUCCUAAAGCUAAAUAUUGGCGAGAGACCGAUAGCAAACAAGUACCGUGAGGGAAAGAUGAAAAGAACUUUGAAAAGAGAGUUAAACAGUAUGUGAAAUUGCUAAAAGGGAAGCGUUUGAAGACAGACUAGCUUGGUUAUAAUCAGCCUGGAUUUUUCUUGGUGUACUUGUAGCCUAUGCUUGCCAACAGCAGUUUGGUCUGGCUGAAAAAACUAGUAGUAAGGUGGCUCUCUUCGGGGAGUGUUAUAGACUAUUAGAAAAUCAGUUGGACUGGACUGAGGAAUGCAAUGCAGCUUGCCUUGGGGUGAACCAGAUUGGAUAGGAACCAUUGUUCCUUGAAGGUUUGGGUAGCUCUUCGAACUGUAUUUAGGUUGUUGGCUUAAUGUCUUUAAACGGCCCGUCCAAAACAGACGAGACACACAUUCCCGUAACGAUG
rnacentral:rRNA from 1 species